CCUACGGGAGGCAGCAGUGGGGAAUAUUGCACAAUGGGCGAAAGCCUGAUGCAGCGACGCCGCGUGGGGGAUGACGGUCUUCGGAUUGUAAACCCCUUUCAGUAGGGACGAAGCGCAAGUGACGGUACCUGCAGAAGAAGCACCGGCUAACUACGUGCCAGCAGCCGCGGUAAUACGUAGGGUGCGAGCGUUGUCCGGAAUUACUGGGCGUAAAGAGCUCGUAGGCGGUUUGUCACGUCGUCUGUGAAAUCCCUCGGCUUAACCGGGGGCGUGCAGGCGAUACGGGCAGACUUGAGUACUACAGGGGAGACUGGAAUUCCUGGUGUAGCGGUGAAAUGCGCAGAUAUCAGGAGGAACACCGGUGGCGAAGGCGGGUCUCUGGGUAGUAACUGACGCUGAGGAGCGAAAGCAUGGGUAGCGAACAGGAUUAGAUACCCUGGUAGUCCAUGCCGUAAACGGUGGGCGCUAGGUGUGGGGUCCUUCCACGGACUCCGUGCCGUAGCUAACGCAUUAAGCGCCCCGCCUGGGGAGUACGGCCGCAAGGCUA
rnacentral:rRNA from 1 species